AAACGACUCUCGGCAACGGAUAUCUCGGCUCUCGCAUCGAUGAAGAACGUAGCGAAAUGCGAUACUUGGUGUGAAUUGCAGAAUCCCGUGAACCAUCGAGUCUUUGAACGCAAGUUGCGCCCCAAGCCUUCUGGCYGAGGGCACGUCUGCCUGGGU
rnacentral:rRNA from 2 species